GACGAACGCUGGCGGCGUGCUUAACACAUGCAAGUCGAACGGAAAGGCCCUGCUUGCCGGGUACUCGAGUGGCGAACGGGUGAGUAACACGUGGGUGAUCUGCCCUGCACUUCGGGAUAAGCCUGGGAAACUGGGUCUAAUACCGGAUAGGAGCCAUUUUUAGUGUGAUGGUUGGAAAGUUUUUUCGGUGUAGGAUGAGCUCGCGGCCUAUCAGCUUGUUGGUGGGGUAAUGGCCUACCAAGGCGGCGACGGGUAGCCGGCCUGAGAGGGUGGACGGCCACAUUGGGACUGAGAUACGGCCCAGACUCCGACGGGAGGCAGCAGUGGGGAAUAUUGCACAAUGGGCGCAAGCCUGAUGCAGCGACGCCGCGGGGGGGAUGACGGCCUUCGGGUUGUAAACUCCUUUCGCUAGGGACGAAGCUUUUUGUGACGGUACCUAGAUAAGAAGCACCGGCUAACUACGUG
rnacentral:rRNA from 1 species